rnacentral:rRNA from 1 species
CGCAACGCGCAGAACCUUACCAGGCCCUUGACAUGUGUACUCGCUGUGUUUCCAGAGACGGAAUCCUUCGCGUUCGGGCGGUAGUCAACACAGGGUGCUGCAUGGCUGUCGUCAGCUCGUGUCGUGAGAUGUUGGGUUAAGUCCCGCAACGAGCGCAACCCUCGUCUCCAGUUGCCAUCAGGUAAUGCUGGGCACUUUGGAGAAACUGCCGGUGACAAGCCGGAGGAAGGUGGGGAUGACGUCAAGUCCUCAUGGCCCUUACGGGCUGGGCUACACACGUGCUACAAUGGCGGUGACAAUGGGAUGCAAUGGCGCGAGCCGGAGCCGAUCCUAAAAAACCGUCUCAGUUCGGAUUGCACUCUGCAACUCGAGUGCAUGAAGUUGGAAUCGCUAGUAAUCGCGGAUCAGCAUGCCGCGGUGAAUACGUCCCCGGGCCUUGUACACACCG